AGGACGAACGCUGGCGGCGUGCUUAACACAUGCAAGUCGAGCGGAAAGGCCCUUCGGGGUACUCGAGCGGCGAACGGGUGAGUAACACGUGAGUAAUCUGCCCCUAGCUCUGGGAUAGCUCCGGGAAACCGGGAUUAAUACCGGAUACGACCACUUUAGACAUAUGUUGUGGUGGAAAGAAUUUUGGCUAGGGAUGAGCUCGCGGCCUAUCAGCUUGUUGGUGGGUAACGGCCUACCAAGGCGACG
rnacentral:rRNA from 1 species